rnacentral:sRNA from 1 species
UCUAGACCACUGGGUCAUGCUGCCUUCAGCCUUAGCACCUCGAACUGUCUGCAUCUUGGAUGACUUCCUGAGCAUGGAAUAGAAGUGGAAUUACUCCAACAGGGAAGGCAUGAUGCUGGAUUUGGGGAGUUUUUCAGAAAGCCGCAAAACUGGGGCUACAAGAGAGAUGUGGGCCACUUCCAGACUGUUCCUUCUUUGCCUGUUUUCAGCUCUAUGGAAGGCGCGCCCCCUGGGAGGAUCCUGCCAAGUGGGUGAUGGACACAUAUCCAUGGGCAGCCAGCCCACAACAGCACGAGUGGCCUCCCCUGCUGCAGUUACGGCCUGAGGAUGUCGGCUUCGACGGCUACUCCAUGCCUCGAGAGGGAUCGACAAGCAAGCAGAUGCCCCCCAGUGAUGCUGAAGGUGACCCGCUGAUGAACAUGCUGAUGAGGCUGCAGGAGGCAGCCAACUACUCCAGCCCCCAGAGCUAUGACAGCGACUCCAACAGCAACAGCCAUCACGAUGACAUCUUGGACUCCUCUUUGGAGUCCACUCUGUGACAGGGGCCCGGAGCCCAGCGCCCU